rnacentral:rRNA from 1 species
AUAUCAAUGAGCGGAGGAAAAGAAACUAACACGGAUUCCCAUAGUAACUGCGAGUGAAGCGGGAAAAGCUCAAAUUUAAAAUCUGGCAGUCUUUGGCUGUCCGAGUUGUAAUCUAGAGAAGUAUUAUCCGCGCUGGACCGUGUACAAGUCUCGUGGAAUGGAGCGUCAUAGAGGGUGAGAAUCCCGUCUUUGACACGGACUGCCAGGGCUUUGUGAUAUGCUCUCAAAGAGUCGAGUUGUUUGGGAAUGCAGCUCAAAAUGGGUGGUAAAUUCCAUCUAAAGCUAAAUAUUGGCGAGAGACCGAUAGCGAACAAGUACCGUGAGGGAAAGAUGAAAAGAACUUUGGAAAGAGAGUUAAACAGUACGUGAAAUUGCUGAAAGGGAAACGCUUGAAGUCAGUCGCGUUGGCCAGGGAUCAACCUUGCUUUUGCUUGGCUUACUUUCUGGUCGAUGGGUCAGCAUCAAUUUUGACUGGUGGAAAAAGUUCAAGGGAAUGUGGCAUCUUCGGAUGUGUUAUAGCCUUUGUUCACAUACAUUGGUUGGGAUUGAGGAACUCAGCACGCCGCAAGGCCGGGUUUUUAACCACGUACGUGCUUAGGAUGCUGGCAUAAUGGCUUUAAUCGACCCGUCUUGAAACACGGACCAAGGAGUCUAACAUGCCUGCGAGUAUUUGGGUGAAAAACCCGAGUGCGUAAUGAAAGUGAAAGUUGAGAUCCCUGUCGUGGGGAGCAUUGACGCCCGGAUCUGACCUUUUGUGACGAUUCUGCGGUAGAGCAUGUAUGUUGGGACCCGAAAGAUGGUGAACUAUGCCUGAAUAGGGUGAAGCCAGAGGAAACUCUGGUGGAGGCUCGUAGCGAUUCUGACGUGCAAAUCGAUCGUCAAAUUUGGGUAUAGGGGCGAAAGACUAAUCGAACC